GACGAACGCUGGCGGCGUGCUUAACACAUGCAAGUCGAACGGAAAGGCCCUUCUUUUGUGGGGUGCUCGGGUGGCGAACGGGUGAGUAACACAAGAGUAAACUGACCUUGACUUUGGUAUAACUUAAGGAAACUGGGGCUAAUACCGGAUAGGAGCUCCUGCUGCAUGGUGGGGGUUGGAAUGUUUCGGCGGUUGGGGAUGGAGGUGGGGCUUGUCAGCUUGUUGGUGGGGUAGUGGCUUACCAGGGCUUUGACGGGUAGCCGGCCUGAGAGGGAGACCGGCCAGAUUGGGACUGAUAUGCGGCCCAGAAUCCUACGGGAGGGAGCAGUGGGGAAUAGUGUAAAAUGGGCGGAAGCCGGAUGCAGUAGCGCCGCGUGCGGUAUGAAGGCCUUCGGGUUGUAAACCGCGUCCGCCUGUGACGAAGCGGGAGUGACGGUAAUGGGUAAAGAAGCACCGGCUAACUACGUG
rnacentral:rRNA from 1 species